UACGUAGGGGGCGAGCGUUGUCCGGAAUCAUUGGGCGUAAAGCGCGUGUAGGCGGUCCGAUAAGUUCGCUGUGAAAGUCGGGGGCUUAACCCUCGGAUGCCGGUGAAUACUGUCGGGCUUGAGUACGGAAGAGGCGGGUGGAAUUCCUGGUGUAGCGGUGAAAUGCGCAGAUAUCAGGAGGAACACCAAUGGCGAAGGCAGCUCGCUGGGACGGUACUGACGCUGAGGCGCGAAAGCGUGGGGAGCAAACAGG
rnacentral:rRNA from 1 species